AUGUCUGCUAUGAAGAUUUUCAAGCAUGGCAGAGAAGUUGAUUGCUAUCCUAAUAUCUGCUUUCCUUAUCGCAUCUUAUUGACUGUGCCCGUGACGGUUGCAUCAGCCGAAAGAAGCUUUUUGAAGUUGAAAUUAUUGAAGAAUUAUUUGAGGUCAACAAUGACUCAGCAGCAGUCAAAUGGCUUGGCUAUGUUAUGCAUCGAUAAGAAAUUAUUGGAUGAGAUUGACAUUGACCCCAUGAUAAGUGACUUUGCAUCGAAGAAUGUCAGAAGAAAAUCUUAA
rnacentral:rRNA from 1 species